rnacentral:rRNA from 1 species
CCCUUAGAUGUUCUGGGCCGCACGCGCGCUACACUGAUGCGUUCAACAAGCCUAGCCUUGACCGAGAGGUCCGGGUAAUCUUUGAAACUGCAUCGUGAUGGGGCUAGAUUAUUGCAAUUAUUAAUCUUCAACGAGGAAUGCCUAGUAAGCGUGAUUCAUCAAAUCGCGUUGAUUACGUCCCUGCCCUUUGUACACACCGCCCGUCGCUCCUACCGAUUGAAUGUGUUGGUGAGGAGCUCGGAUUGGCAGCAGUUGGUGGUUCGCCACCGGCUAUUGCUGAGAAGUCCUCCAAACCGCCCCAUUUAGAGGAAGGAGAAGUCGUAACA